rnacentral:misc_RNA from 1 species
AACGCACAUUGCGCCCGCGAGUAUUCUCGCGGGCAUGCCUGUUCGAGCGUCAUUUCAACCCUCAAGCCCCCGGGCUUGGUGUUGGGGAUCGGCGGAUCGCGGCCUCCGGGUCGCGGCGCCGGCCCCGAAAUCCAUUGGCGGUCUCGCUUGCAGCCUCCCCUGCGUAGUAGUAACAUCUCGCACCGGAGCGCGGGCGCGGCCACGCCGUUAAACACCCCACUUCUGAAAGGUUGACCUCGGAUCAGGUAGGAAUACCCGCUGAACUUAA